UGAGAUCUUCGGAUGGAUUUAAAACAGCUUAGUGGCGGACGGGUGAGUAACGCGUGGGUAACCUGCCUCACACUGGGGGAUAACAGCUGGAAACGGCUGCUAAUACCGCAUAAGCGCACAGAGCUGCAUGGCUCAGUGUGAAAAACUCCGGUGGUAUGGGAUGGGCCCGCGUCUGAUUAGGCAGUUGGCGGGGUAACGGCCCACCAAACCGACGAUCAGUAGCCGGCCUGAGAGGGCGGCCGGCCACAUUGGAACUGAGACACGGUCCAAACUCC
rnacentral:rRNA from 1 species